GAUGAACGCUGGCGGCGUGCCUAAUACAUGCAAGUCGAGCGAACAGACGAGGCGCUUGCUCCUCUGACGUUAGCGGCGGACGGGUGAGUAACACGUGGAUAACCUACCUAUAAGACUGGGAUAACUUCGGGAAACCGGAGCUAAUACCGGAUAAUAUAUUGAACGGCAUGGUUCAAUGGUGAAAGACGGUUUUGCUGUCCCUUAUAGGUGGAUCCGCGCCGCAUUAGCUAGUUGGUAAGGUAACGGCUUACCAAGGCAACGAUGCGUAGCCGACCUGAGAGGGUGAUCGGCCACACUGGAACUGAGACACGGUCCAGACUCCUACGGGAGGCAGCAGUAGGGAAUCUUCCGCAAUGGGCGAAAGCCUGACGGAGCAACGCCGCGUGAGUGAUGAAGGUCUUCGGAUCGUAAAACUCUGUUAUUAGGGAAGAACAAAUGUGUAAGUAACUAUGCACGUCUUGACGGUACCUAAUCAGAAAGCCACGGCUAACUACGUG
rnacentral:rRNA from 1 species